rnacentral:rRNA from 1 species
CACGGAUGGAACAAGUGUACUUGACACUGGGUGUAAAACGCGCGUAGACGGUUUAAUUUGUUUUUUAUAUAAAAGUCUUUUUUUAAAAGAAAAUAUAUUAAAUACAAUUAGACUAGAGCUUUUAUAAAACAACGGUAUUUUAAAUGUAAAGUGAAAAUUUCAAAUAUUUAAAAGACCAGCAAUUGGCGAAGGCGGUGUUAAGGGAUGUACUGACGUUGAGGCGCUAAAGCUUAGUAGCAAAUAGG